rnacentral:rRNA from 1 species
GCUCGUAGGCGGUUUGUCGCGUCGUCUGUGAAAUUCUGCAGCUAACUGCAGGCGUGCAGGCGAUACGGGCAGACUUGAGUACUACAGGGGAGACUGGAAUUCCUGGUGUAGCGGUGAAAUGCGCAGAUAUCAGGAGGAACACCGGUGGCGAAGGCGGGUCUCUGGGUAGUAACUGACGCUGAGGAGCGAAAGCGUGGGUAGCGAACA